rnacentral:rRNA from 1 species
UCAAGCGAGAGAAGGGUUUGCGGUGGAUGCCUUGGCGUAUCGAGGCGAGGAAGGCCGUGGCAAGCUGCGAAAAUCGGCGGGGAGGAGCACACAUCCUGAGAUCCGCCGGUAGCCGAAUGGGGUAACCCGCCAAGCGCGAGCUUGGCAUCCGCUGCUGAAUAAAUAGGCUGCGGAGGCGACACUGGGGGAACUGAACCAUCUAAGUACCCCGGGAAAAGAAAAUAAGAAUGAUUCCGAGAGUAGCGGCGAGCGAAAUCGGAGGAGCCCAAACCGCCCCCUGGGGCGGGGUUGUAGGGCCGCCAUCCCGAAAGGGGGGAGUCCAGAAAGCUGCGCUAUAGCGGAAAGGCAUUGGGAAAGCCUGACAUAGAGGGUGAAAUCCCCGUACGCGAAAUAGCGGAGCCUCCAAGGCGGUGCCUGAGUACGGCGGGGCACGUGAAACCCUGCCGGAAUCCGGGUCGACCACGAUCCANGGGCUAAUACGAGAUACGACCGAUAGAGCAGAAGUACCGCGAGGGAAAGGCGAAAAGAACCCCGGCGAGGGGAGUGAAACAGAACCUGAAACCGCGAACCCACAACAUGUCAAAGCCCGGGCAGCCGGGUGAUGGCGUGCCUUUUGUAGAAUGAGCCUGCGAGUUGCGAUAUACAGCGAGGCUAAGGGAUAGCAGUCCCGGAGCCGCAGGGAAACCGAGUCUUAAUAGGGCGAGGAAAUACCCGAAAGGGUAUUCAGUUAUAUGUCGCAGACCCGAAGCCAGGUGAUCUAGUUACGCGCAGGCUGAAGGCAGGGUAAAACCUGUUGGAGGGCCGAACCCUAGUCUGUUAAAAAAGGCAGGGAUGACGCGUGACUUGGAGCGAAAGACUAAACAAACCUGGAGAUAGCUGGCUCUCCCCGAAAUGCCUUGAGGGACAGCCUCGUCAAAAUCUUGAGCAGGUAGAGCACUGGAUGGACUAGGGGGCUUCACCGCCUACCAAACCCAAUCAAACUCCGAAUGGCGAGAGACAACUGACGGGAGUGAGACUGCGGGCGACAAGGUCCGUAGUCGAGAGGGAAACAGCCCAGACCGCCGGCUAAGGUCCCGGAUAGCAUGCUAAGUGUGAAAUGAUGUGCGAUGGCGAAGACAGCCAGGAGGUUGGCUUAGAAGCAGCCAUUCCUUAAAAGAGUGCGUAAUAGCUCACUGGUCGAGUCAUGGCGCGCAGACNAUGUAGCGGGGCUAAGCAUGCAACCGAAGCCGCGGGUUUCGCAAGCGAUUGCGAGACGGUAGGGGAGCAUUCCACGGGCCGACAAANGCAGCCUGCGAAGGCUGCUGGAGGCAGUGGAAAGGAGAAUGCANGUAUAAGUAGACGAAAGGACGGUGAGAUCCCCGUCCGCCGGAAGCCUAAGGAUUCCUGGGUAAAGGUCAUCUGCCCAGGGUAAGUCGGCCCCUAAGGCGAGGGGGAAACCCGUAGCCGAUGGGAAACUGGUUAUUAUUCCAGUACCGUUCUUGGUUUCAAGGGAUGACGCAUGAGGCGAAACCCGGCCGGGCGACGGUUGUCCCGGUCGAAGCUGCGAGCUAUUGGGGCCGGAGGAAACGGCCGCAGGCGAGCUGCGACAGCGAGCUGAGCUAAGGCGAGGCGAAGCGGGCGUAGUCAAGGUGCCAAGAAACAAUCCCCUCUGGACAGGCCAAGAAGACCGUACCGCAAACCGACACAGGUAGGCGGGAUGAGAAAUCUAAGGCGCUCGAGAGAAUUCACGUUAAGGAACUCGGCAAAAUGCGCACGUAACUUCGGGAGAAGUGCGGCCGCGGGUGGUUUUAGCAAUAAUGUUACCUGCGGCGUCACAAAGCAGUCCCAGGCGACUGUUUAUCAAAAACACAGGCCUCUGCGAACCUGCAAAGGGACGUAUAGGGGCUGACACCUGCCCGGUGCCGGAAGGUUAAGGGGAGCGGUUAGGGGAAACUCAAGAAGCUGCGAACCGAAGCCCCGGUAAACGGCGGCCGUAACUAUAACGGUCCUAAGGUAGCGAAAUUCCUUGUCGGGUAAGUUCCGACCCGCACGAAAGGUGUAACGAUCUGGGAGCUGUCUCAACGCGAGACUCGGUGAAAUUUAAGUACCGGUAAAGAUGCCGGUUACCCGUGGUUAGACGGAAAGACCCCGUGAACCUUCACCGUAACUUAUCAUGGGAACUUGGUUAGACAUGUGUAGAAUAGGUGGGAGACUAUGAAGCGUGGGCGUUAGCUUGCGUGGAGUCAACAGUGAAAUACCACCCUUGUCUGAUUAGGUUUCUAACCCGACCCGUGAAUCCGGGCCGGGGACAGUGAUAGGCAGGCGGUUUGACUGGGGCGGUCGCCUCCCAAAGAGUAACGGAGGUGCGCGAAGGUCUCCUCGCGCCGGUUGGAAAUCGGCGCAUGAGUGUAAAGGCACAAGGAGGCUUGACUGCGAGGCUGACAGGCCGAGCAGGUACGAAAGUAGGUCUUAGUGAUCUGGCGGCAGCGAGUGGAAGCGCCGUCACUUAACGGAUAAAAGGUACUCCGGGGAUAACAGGCUGAUCUUCCCCAAGAGUCCACAUCGACGGGAAGGUUUGGCACCUCGAUGUCGGCUCAUCGCAUCCUGGGGCUGAAGCAGGUCCCAAGGGUUUGGCUGUUCGCCAAUUAAAGCGGUACGUGAGCUGGGUUCAGAACGUCGCGAGACAGUUCGGUCCCUAUCUGCCAUGGGCGUUGGAUGGUUGAGAGGAGCUGUUUUUAGUACGAGAGGACCGAAAUGGACGAACCUCUGGUGUACCGGUUGUCCUGCCAAGGGCACGCGCCGGGUAGCUACGUUCGGACGGGAUAACCGCUGAAGGCAUCUAAGCGGGAAGCCCCCCUCAAGAUAAACCAUCCCUGGGGGUUUAACCCCCCUAAAGGUACCAGGGAGACUACCUGGUUGAUAGGUUGGAGGUCCAAGCAUGGUAACAUGUUCAGCCGACCAAUACUAAUCUGCCGUGAGGCUUGACCAU